rnacentral:rRNA from 1 species
UACGUAGGGGUGCGAGCGUUAAUCGGAAUUACUGGGCGUAAAGCGUGCGCAGGCGGCGCGUUAAGACAGGUGUGAAAGCCCCCGAGCUUAACUUGGGAAUUGACGCUUGUGACUGGCGUGCUGGAGUGUGGCAAAGGGAGGUGGAAUUCCAACGUGUAGCAGUGAAAUGCGUAGAGAUGUGGAGGAACACCGAUGGCGAAGGCAGCCUCCUGGGC